GAUGAACGCUGGCGGCGUGCCUAAUACAUGCAAGUCGAGCGAACAGAUGAGGAGCUUGCUCCUCUGACGUUAGCGGCGGACGGGUGAGUAACACGUGGAUAGCCUACCUAUAAGACUGGGAUAACUUCGGGAAACCGGAGCUAAUACCGGAUAAUAUAUUGAACCGCAUGGUUCAAUAGUGAAAGACGGUUUUGCUGUCACUUAUAGAUGGAUCCGCGCCGCAUUAGCUAGUUGGUAAGGUAACGGCUUACCAAGGCAACGAUGCGUAGCCGACCUGAGAGGGUGAUCGGCCACACUGGAACUGAGACACGGUCCAGACUCCUACGGGAGGCAGCAGUAGGGAAUCUUCCGCAAUGGGCGAAAGCCUGACGGAGCAACGCCGCGUGAGUGAUGAAGGCCUUCGGAUCGUAAAACUCUGUUAUUAGGGAAGAACAAAUGUGUAAGUAACUAUGCACGUCUUGACGGUACCUAAUCAGAAAGCCACGGCUAACUACGUG
rnacentral:rRNA from 1 species